AAUUGCUAGUAAUGGCAGGUCAGAAUACUGCCGUGAAUACGUUCCCGGGCCUUGUACACACCGCCCGUCACACCAUGAGAGUUGGGAAUACCCGAAGCCUGUGAGCUAACCGCAAGGGAGCAGCAGUCGAAGGUAGAAUCAAUGAUUGGGGUGAAGUCGUAACAAGGUAGC
rnacentral:rRNA from 1 species